UACAGAGGAUGCAAGCGUUAUCCGGAAUGAUUGGGCGUAAAGCGUCUGUAGGUGGCUUUUUAAGUCCGCCGUCAAAUCCCAGGGCUCAACUCUGGACAGGCGGUGGAAACUACCAAGCUGGAGUACGGUAGGGGCAGAGGGAAUUUCCGGUGGAGCGGUGAAAUGCGUAGAGAUCGGAAGGAACACCUGUGGCGAAAGCGGCUCACUGGACCAUUACUGACGCUGAGGCACGAAAGCUAGGGGAGCAAACAGG
rnacentral:rRNA from 1 species